GAUGAAGAACGUAGCGAAAUGCGAUACUUGGUGUGAAUUGCAGAAUCCCGUGAACCAUCGAGUCUUUGAACGCAAGUUGCGCCUCAAGCCAUUAGGUUGAGGGCACGUCUGCCUGGGCGUCACAUAUCGUUGCCUGAUGCCAGUUUCCUCGUGAUGGGUGACUGUGCAGGGCGAAUGAUGGCUUCCCGUGAGCAUUGUUGCCUCAUGGUUGGUUGAAAAUUGAGUCCUUGGUAGGGAGCGCCGUGAUAGAUGGUGGUUGAAUGACGAACGAGACCCAAUCAUGUGAGACCCCUACCGAAUUUGGCCUUCAUGACCCACAUGCGUCUUUGGAACGCUCAUGACGAGACCUCAGGUCAGGCGGGGCUACCCGCUGAGUUUAAGCAUAUCAAUAAGCGGAGGA
rnacentral:misc_RNA from 1 species